UACAGAGGGUGCAAGCGUUGCUCGGAAUCAUUGGGCGUAAAGGGUGCGUAGGCGGCGCGGUAAGUCGGGUGUGAAAUCUCGGAGCUUAACUCCGAAACUGCAUUCGAUACUGCCGUGCUUGAGGACUGGAGAGGAGACUGGAAUUUACGGUGUAGCGGUGAAAUGCGUAGAUAUCGUAAGGAAGACCAGUGGCGAAGGCGGGUCUCUGGACAGUUCCUGACGCUGAGGCACGAAGGUCAGGGGAGCAAACGGG
rnacentral:rRNA from 1 species